UACGUAGGGGGCAAGCGUUGUCCGGAAUCAUUGGGCGUAAAGCGCGCGUAGGCGGCCCGGUAAGUCCGUUCUGAAAGUCCAGGGCUCAACCCUGGAAAGCGGGUGGAUACUGCCGGGCUAGAAUCCGGAAGAGGCGAGUGGAAUUCCUGGUGUAGCGGUGGAAUGCGCAGAUAUCAGGAGGAACACCAAUAGCGAAGGCAGCUCGCUGGGACGGUAUUGACGCUAAGGCGCGAAAGCGUGGGGAGCAAACAGG
rnacentral:rRNA from 1 species